rnacentral:rRNA from 1 species
GAUGAACGCUGGCGGCGUGCCUAAUACAUGCAAGUCGAGCGAACAGACGAGGAGCUUGCUCCUCUGACGUUAGCGGCGGACGGGUGAGUAACACGUGGAUAACCUACCUAUAAGACUGGGAUAACUUCGGGAAACCGGAGCUAAUACCGGAUAAUAUAUUGAACCGCAUGGUUCAAUAGUGAAAGACGGUUUUGCUGUCACUUAUCGAUGGAUCCGCGCUGCAUUAGCUAGUUGGUAAGGUAACGGCUUACCAAGGCCACGAUGCGUAGCCGACCUGAGAGGGUGAUCGGCCACCCUGGAACUGAGCCACGGUCCAGACUCCUACGGGAGGCAGCAGUAGGGAAUCGUCCGCAAUGGGCGAAAGCCUGACGGAGCAACGCCGCGUGAGUGAUGAAGGUCUUCGGAUCGUAAAACUCUGUUAUUAGGGAAGAACAAAUGUGUAAGUAACUAUGCACGUCUUGACGGUACCUAAUCAGAAAGCCACGGCUAACUACGUG